AAUAGCAUAACGUCAGCCUGGGACUCGUAACCCGGAGUAAAUGGGCGUUCUGCCAGGCCAAGGGCUAUAAAAGAGGUGAUGCAAGGCGCUCUGAGCCAUAGUCGCACGCAGCGGGGCGCGCACGUUUCAGCUCUCUUGCCGCGCCGCCGCCAGAGCGGACCCACCAGCCAGUCAGUGCGCAGGACGGGCGUCCUCCGCUUUCGCCCGCCGGCUGGACGGACAGCCAGCCCGCCCCCGCCCGCCUUGCGGACCCUGGCCGCCCCGAGCGGAGACUGGAGCAAAACGAUGCUUCAACACCCAGGCCAGGUCUCUGCCUCAGAAGUCAGUGCUUCUGCCAUCAUCCCCUGCCUUUCCCCUCCUGGGUCACUGGUGUUGGAGGAUUUUGCAAACCUGACACCUUUUGUCAAGGAAGAACUGAGGCUCGCCAUCCAGAGCAAGCACCUUUGCCACCGGAUGUCCUCUACACUGGAGUCGGUCACUGUUAGCGACAGGCCCUCGAGAUGGCAGUCAUGAAAGCUGAGAUUGACCCGGCUGGCAUGUUGAGAGUGUACAGAGAGACCACCGCGGUGACCCAGGAGGAAGACAAGAGGGCUUUGAAUCAGGGUGGGAGCAGUGGGGGUGCUGAGAAGGGACUGGAUUCUGAUCUCUUUCUAGCUGGUUUACCAAUAGAUUGGAUGUGGGGUAUGAGAGACAGAGAGGACUCAAGGGUGACUCCAGAGUUUUUGCCUGAGCAGCUGUAAGGAUGGAGUGCCCAUUUGCAGCUGAGGCUGGGGAGACUGUCAGGGGUUGGGUGGGGGCAGGCACAGGAAUUCCAUCCUAAUACAUUUAUUCAGCACCUCAGGAGAGGUGACCAGGAGGCAGCUGGGAGAAGUGAGUUUGGAGAUCCGAGGAAAGUCAUGGCUAGAUGUACUAUGGUAACUUAAUUAAAUCUCUGAGUGCAUAUGUUAUGGAGAUCCCUGGACAACCCCUUCAGAAAAUCACCUCAGUAACUGGACUGUAUCUAGGCUUAACUUAUCCAGGUGGCCACCACUGCUCCUCCCAUGGAGUUUGAUUCUAUUGUUACUCUCCCAACUUUACAGGUAAAGAAACAGGCAUACUAAUUUCCUACAGGGGCAGAGCUAAUAGGUGAUGGAGGUGGUAUUUGAAUGCAAACCUAGCAGACUCUAAGACCCUAUUCUAAACGGCUAUGUAUCAAACUCCACAGGUUUUUUUUUUUUU